rnacentral:misc_RNA from 1 species
AGCAGCCGCGGUAAUUCCAGCUCCAAUAGCGUAUAUUAAAGUUGUUGCAGUUAAAAAGCUCGUAGUUGAAUUUCGGGAUCAAUAUGUUGGUCGUGCCUCGGUACGUACUAGCUUAUUGGUUUCUCCUUUCUGAAGAACCAUGAUGUCAUUUAUUUGGUGUCGUGGGGAAUCAGGACUGUUACUUUGAAAAAUUAGAGUGUUUAAAGCAGGCUCACGCUUGAAUACAUUAGCAUGGAAUAAUGAAAUAGGACGUUUGAUUCUAUUUUGUUGGUUUCUAGGAUCGACGUAAUGAUUAAUAGGGAUAGUUGGGGGCAUUAGUAUUCAAUUGUCAGAGGUGAAAUUCUUGGAUUUAUUGAAGACUAACUACUGCGAAAGCAUUUGCCAAGGAUGUUUUCAUUAAUCAAGAACGAAAGUUAGGGGAUCGAAGACGAUCAGAUACCGUCGUAGUCUUAACCAUAAACUAUGCCGA